rnacentral:lncRNA from 1 species
GGGCAUCGGUAAUGGUGCAAUGACUUAUCGAAGGAAUAGGACCGUUGGUAUAAGCUUCCCCUUAAGUGAAUUAAUGAAAUCAAAAUUUGGGAUUUCCUCUCCCAUUCUCCCAAAUUAUGUUUUAAAGCUUCCCCUCAAGUGAGAAGUUCUUCCCGUUCAGAAGCCCCAACCCUAACCACUAUUUACACUAUUUUGCAGUCGCCCAUUGCCUUUCCGCCCUUCCCCGCUUUUGUGAUUACACAUUUGUCUUCAAUCACUGUGUGGUAGGUUUCUUUUGUGGAAGGAGAGUUUCAGUGAGGAGGGUGGUGGUUGACGUGAGGGAUUACAUUGUUGGGAGGGGCCUAUUUGAACAUUGUCGUGGCAUGACGAGGGUGCUGUGGCAGCGUGACCAGGGCUUCCACUAUCGCGACGAGGCCAAUCUAGGGGCUCUAUGACGAAGGGGCUCUCACUACGUGAGGAAGGCUUCGACUAUCGUGAAGGAGGCUAUUGGAGGGGCUGAUACACCUAGGUGGUGUUGCUGCGGUAGAGGUGAGUUCUGUAUUUUGUGAAUGAUGAAGAAUUUGUUGAUGAAGGGUUGAUGAAGAAUUUGAUGUGUCGUUGUUAAAUGUAUGCAGUGUUAUGUAUUUUUCUCUAAAUUGGUUUGGUACUUUGUUCCGUGAAUGAACAAGAUGUUGAAAUUAUGUGUAGUAGGUUUGCUUUGAAACCUUGGCCCCUAUCGGAUCCAUUUGAUUUUACUUGAUGAACAAUAAACCUUUCAUUUGUGAAUGAAUUUGGUUGUUGAAUUUGAGGCUUAUUAUAUGUAUUUGUUGUUGUAAUUAGCCUUAUUAUACGUAAUGGGUUGAAGACUGAGCAAUCAAUGGUUGACUAAACAUAUACAAUUUCAUCACUACAUUAACCCUACAUUAAAUUCAUCAGUAGGGAAGAUGAAUUUAAUUUAAUGAUAUGUUUAGUAGUUUUUAACAUUAUUAGAGUUCUUUAGGCUGUUAGUUAUGUUGGAAGUUGUAUUUUGUGGAAUUGAAAUGAAUGCUAUGUUAUUAGGUUUUGGAAUGGAAGGUUUGAAUCUAAGGGAUUCUUUGGCUGUUAUGAUAUAUCUGGGUGGGAUUAAUCAGAAUUGGUAAUAACUUUAAGUUUACAUGUUUCUCUACAAAUCAAUUUGGUUUGAUAUGGUUGUAUGUGUCUGGGACUGUCCUAAGCUUUAUUUAAUUAUCUUUAGUGUAAUUAAAGGUUUGGAUUCAGUUUCUUGGGUAGUUUAAAUAUGUUUGGGUAUAUCUGGAGCUGGUUGGAAUGGAAAUAGAGAAUUAGAGGUAGGUUCAAACUGUUUAGACACAUUUUCGUUUUGAAUAUAAUAUCAUUGCAUUAAAGUUAUUACUUUGUGCUAAUGUAAUUUGUUCAUUAUUGUACAAGGGCUGCAGUUGAAGUCAAGUGUCCAAGAUUUCAUCAUUUCCAAGUAGGUAAUGUUCGUCCUCUUCUGCUUGCGUUGCUUCAUUUUGGGUAUUAAUUGCGUUAUGAAUUGAGACCGAAUUACAAUUGAAUUUGUUUUAUAAAUUUCACAAUUUGAGCAAUUUUAGCAUGUAUGAAUUGUCUGUUUUGCUUAUAGCCUUGAUGGGAAUUAAAUUGUGCAAAUUGAGCAUGGAAACUUAUGUAGAUGCUUUAUUUUAGUUUGUUUCUGAUUGAUCUGUCUAAAAGCCUAUAGAUUGAAGACACUUUUGUGUUCUCUAAUUUCAAAAACUAUAUCAAUUGAUAACAAACCUAAUGAAAGAGGAGAUAAAGUACUUGCUUUAAGGUUGCCACUAAGAAUAAGAGUGGGAACAAGCUAAAUAUACAUAGUUGGGAUGUUUGAGAUAACAUUUAACAUGACCUCAUAAAUAAAGAUAAAGGUAAAUGCAACAAAGUAUAGUUAUCAAAACUUGAACUGAAUAGUUUAGUAUCAACUACCACUGAGUUAAAGCCUACUUACCUACUUUGUUAUCUUUUUUUGAUGAUAAAAAGAAUAUUGUUUCACAUCACAAGUAUGGACUGAUACUGCCUCUCACCUUGUAAAGUAAGGUGAGAGGCAAAGAGAUGAUGUUCUCUAAGAAAGACCUUUUUGACAUGGCUAAGGUGCUCUUGAAGACCUUGACUAUAGAUUAAGAUGUCAUCGAAGUAGACCAUUACAAACCUCCCUACGUAUUCCCUAAGGACAUGGUUCAUCAAUCUCAUGAAUGUACUAGGAGCAUUGGUGAAGCCAAAGGGAAUGACUAACCAUUCAUACAAACCAAACUUGGUCUUGAAAGCGGUUUUCCAUUCAUCUCCUUCUUUAAUUCUUAUUUGACGAUAUCUGCUUUUGAGAUCAAUUUUCGUAAAAUUGUUUGCUACAUGUAAGUCAUCCAACAUGUCAUCCAAUCUAGGAAUGGGGUGCCUAUAUUUGACAGUUAUGUUGUUGAUGACCCUACAAUCUGUGCACAUUCUCCAGGAUCCAUCCUUCUUUGGAACCAACAACACUGGCACAGCACAAGGACUUAGGCUCUUUUGGAUCCACACUUUAUUCAAUAAUUCAUUAACUUGUUUCUUUAUUUCUUUUGUUUCCAUGGGGUUGGUCCUAUAGGUUGGCCUAAUAGGAAGGCUUGCCCUAGGCACCAUAUCUAUUUGAUGUUCUACUCCCCUCAAAGGUGGUAAACCAAUUGAUACCUCUUUAGGAAAUAAAUCAUCAAACUCUUUUAAAAGUUUUUGCAACCCCUAUGGUAGAGAACCAAGUUCAUAAUUUACUGAAACAAGUGCCUCUUUGCAAUAGAGAAAAAAAGGAGGUUGUCCAAGCAAAAUAUUUUUAGAAAUUUUCAAAGUUUGGGGUUGGACAACUUCUUUGGUUGAGGCAUUAUUUACCAAACUAAUAUUCUUCUCUUUUUUCUCUUUCCUAUUUUCCUUUUUUUUUCUCCAUCCAACUUCUUCUUAAGAAUUAUUUGGUCCUCUCUCACUUGUAAUGGUGUAAGAGGACACAAAACAAUCUUCUUGCCCUUGUGUUGAAUGGUGAUUUUGUUGGUGACUCCAUCAUGUAGAGCUUGCUUAUCAAAUUGUCAAGGCCUUCCAAGUAAUAUGUGCCCAGCUUCCAUUGGUACUAUAUAACAAACAAUUUGGUCUUCAUAUUUUCCAAUGGAAAUUGGUACACUCACUUGUUCUUGACUACUAUUCCUUCAUCCUCUUUGAUCCAUUGAAGUUUAUAAGGUUUAGGAUGAGGAGUAGUAGUUAAGCCUAGCUUCUCUACCAUUCUUGAACUGAAACAGUUACAAUAAAAGCCACUAUCCACAAUCAUUGAACAUGUCUUUUCAAAAACUUUACAUCUUGUGUGAAAUAUGUUCUCCUUUUGUGAGUGUUCUAGCUCAGCAUGUUUACUUUCAAGGAGUCUCCUUACCAUGAGUAAGUCACCAUCACAAGGUAAAGCUUCUUCUUCUUCAGAAGUGGAUGUUUCAGACUCACUAUAUGAAGAACCCUCACUUUCACUCUUGCUCAAGAAUGUAAGUUGACCUUCUAUUGCAACACUCAGAUGCAUAGUGCCCUUUUUUUCCCCACAUCUAAAGCACUUAGUCUCCUUAUUUCUAUUGUCUCUUGAAGGUUCUUUCAUUUUCUCUUUCUUUUCUUUCUCUCUCUCUCUCUCUCUCUCUCUCUCUCUCUCUCUCUCUCCUUAGAUCCUUCAUACCUUGGCUUAGAUAGACUACCCUCCCUCUUAUAUUCUUUCUUAUGGAUAGAACUAGUAGGGUAGUCCUUUUUAGUGGAGCCUUUCCUCUUGAGUUGUUGCUCUACUCUUACACAAAGUUGGACUAAUUCAUUGAGAUCAUUAUAAGUUAAGAGUUCUACCUUAUCUCUUAUAUUAUAGUUAAGUCCACUUUGGAACCUAGCAAUUGUUAUCCUUGGCUCCACCCUUAUCCCAGCUCUCAACAUAAGUAACUCUAUUUUUUGCCUAUAUUCCUCAACACUCACGUUUCUUUGUUGGAGUUUAUGGAGUUUUUACAUUAACUCCCUAUCAUAAUAAGCUAGCACAUGCCGUCUUCUUAAGGCAAACCUCAACUCAUUCCAAUACCUAAUGGAAGGUAGGUGUCUUAAUCUAAGGUCUUUUACCAAGGUUGUCCACCAAUAUAAGGCAUAGCCUUGAAAGGUCAAAGAGGUCAUAAUUACUCCCUUCUUAUCAUCUAUUUGGUGCCACUCAAACAAUUUCAACUUUCAUCUCCCAUUCCAAAUAUUCUUCCACAUCAUCUUUUCCAUGGAAGGAAGGAAGGUCAAUCUUGGUUUCACUUGGGUGAUGUUCUCUCAUUCUAUGAUUUCUCCUAGGAGGUAUUUGAUAGUGGUCAUCAUUGUGAUUACUACUAUAUUGCUCAUGCUCACUAGGUGGAGAGGAUGUAUCUCCAUGGUAUUUUAUUCUUCUAUGUGAAGACCCUUCUUUCUUUUUACCCUUGUUUUGAUUGAACAAAAGUUGACCAGUCAUCUCCUUGAGCUCAUUAAUCUCUUUGUCCCUUUGUUGGAACUUUUUUUCAAAUUCUUCUCUUAGUUGUGAGCUCUCACUGUUAGGUCUCAUACUCCCAUAGACACUAGAUUGACUCAUUCUCGUUAAGUAUGUAGAAAUGGUUUUCACAAGGUUUUCAAAACUUGCACAAGUAAUGAGUGAAAAGAUUUUUACAAACUUUCUUGUUUUUGGUGAAGGAUUUCUAAAGAGAUUCUAAAGGUAUAAAAUGUUUCCAAAUAGCUCCCAGGAAGAAGAGGUGAUCCACAAUUGGACAAGCUUAAAAACCAAGUUCUUCCCAGCCAGAGUUUCCUUAGAUUUGUCUUUUACCUUAGGUAGAAAUCUUUCAAAAUAUUUUCAAAUGCUUAAUGAAAUGCUCCUAAAAAUCAAAAGAAAGGUUUAACUAAAUGUUAUGUUAUCCUAUAUACCACGGAGACUUAAAACAAAAAAGUCAAGCAAGCAAUUUAAAGAAAGCAAUAAAGAUGCAAAAUGUAAAUGCUAGACGACCCUAAGUGAAAGUGCAAGUGACACUUGGAGUCCCUUGACACACUUUCACACUAAGGAAACGAAAGCAAGAUAUUACAAUGUUCAAAGGUGAGCUUGGAAUUGCUUCAAGACCAUUUUCCCAAGUCACUUAGCCAAAAACCAAAAUGAAAUUUAAACUACAAAGGUUCCGUGAUAUAAAGGCUCAAACAAGCUCAAAAUAUUGCCUAAAACUAGUAUAGGCUUCAAGCUUUGGCUGUUCUUGUGUGCUACUCAAAAAGAGUAUGUUGGUUGAGCUUUUUCUGGUGUGAAAUGCUGUUGGAAACAACAACUCUACAACUGUUGGACAGGUUGCUAAAACUGCUGUAAAGCCCUCCUUGCUCCAAUUUCAAUCCCCUAACCACUUGAAGCUACCAUAGUAGGUGUAGGUUUCUGCCUCUGGAUGCCUCAAUCAGAAUCCAUAGCUACUCCAAAACUCACCAGAAACACACCAAACAGUUUUAAAAAUCUGCAUCAGUUUUCAGCAUAUGGUUUUUCUGAAUUGAAAAACUUGGAAGCCAAAAAAUGAGGAAUUCAAAUGGAACUCGCAGAAUUAAAAAUAGAAGAAACAGUGGACUGGAAUACUGAAACAGAAAGCACAACAAAAUGCAGAAAUGAAAUAGAAAAUGGAGGAAAUAGCUUAGCUCCUGGUGCUUGGACGGCCUAAGCUCAUGAUACCACUUGAUGGAAACAUGCCCAGGCUUGGAACUCACAGGUAGCAACUCCAAGACAACAAGCUUUGAUGGUGCAGCGGAAUGAAUGAAAGUGAGUGAUGUUUUGGUGUUUUUUAGUGGAAAGAGUGUGUGUAGAGACCUCACAGCUUAGAAGGCCUUCCUACUAUGGAAGGAAGUUAGAGGAAAGGGUUGAGAAAAUGAAGAGAAAGAGUGGCUCAAGAGCAAUAGGGCUGGAAAACAAAUUCAACAGCAUUUUACUAAGACCAAAAGUGAAAAAUUACAAUGGAGAGGCCCUCUUAUCUAUAGGUGAAAAAGGGCCUCAAAUCUGGUCCAAAUUCCCUCCAAAAUUCAAAUGAAACUCGAGCUUGGAGGCCAAGCUAGUUGGGUCACGUUUCCCUCUCCAAACACACAAGGAAAGCAUGUGCAUUUCAAAAUCUGAUGCGGCUGGGCCUGGCACGUUUUUGGCUGGGCCAUUUCAAAAUCCGGAAGGUAUUUUUCUUCAUGAUUCCAAUCCGGAAGCCAACUGCUAAAUCCAGAAUUCACUCCAUUUUCUCCCCUUUUUAGCUCCUUUGCUUUCCUUGGCUUCUCAAGCUUCUUGGGUAGCUCAACCAUGAUCUCUAAGCUUUAUUAGACCCUAUAAAACAAUAGUAUAAAUGUUUAUGGCAGGAGAAGAAGGAUUUUUUAUAAAUAACCUUCCAUAGAAGUAAAGUGUUAAGUGAUUCUUCUUCUUGAAUCUUCCAUGCUAUGGUUCUAGUAAGAGGUGCAAUGUGAUUCCUUGAUGGUCUUUCAUCAAUCAAUCUGUGUUGGGGAAUAAUGUUAGUCAUGAAGUGCUCUCGCAAUUUGGUUUCACGUAGAGAAGAGGUUUGUUUCAAACGUGGUGGAUGUUCGGAUAUGGAAGAUAAUUUAAUAUACCAGAAAUGUUACCCACAAAUUAGUUUGAUAAAUUUAUUAUUAUUAAUGAUUUUAUUUCUUAAAAUGGUUCAAAGAAUAGGAAUAUAAAAUAAAAAUGUAUUUAUGCAUAUUAUUCAAACAUACGUAAUGGGAAAUAUUCAAAUUAAUUAUGUAUAAAUAUUUGUAUGGAUAAUAUUUAACCUUUUAAAUAAGAUGUGUGGGAAAAUAUAAAAGGUAUUACAAUUCUUUAUAUUUUGUUUGCUUAGUUAAGAUAAAUAUUUGAAGUUAGAGUUAUUUUUUCUAAGAGCUAAUAUUUUGAAUUAAGCGAAUAUUUCUAAGUCGUCACAACAUAAUCUAAAUCACUAAANAAAAUACAUUUUAAAAUUAAAUACUAUAAAAGAGUUUAAAAAUAAAAAAUGUUAAUUAUAUUCAAACGAAAUAUACAAUACUACAAUAUCUAAACUUUAACUUACAAUGUUACGAGAGAAUGAAGAACCAUGAGAGAAUAACGUUGCAAGAGAAAGAGUGACACCAAAGAGGGAGACACUAAAUAGAAGAAAGAAUUGUGAGGCAUCAUAGGAGAAAAUCAGAAGUAUGCGUGGCAGCCAUCAUCUAGAAUUUUUUGUUUGUCUGUUGUCUUGCUUUUCAAACCUUUCGUUGAUAUUGUUGUGUGCUCUUUAACUUUCUUUUUAUCCCCUUUGCAUUCCUUUCUAAUUCUAACAUCAAUUACAUUUUCACUUUAAUUGCAUUAUGGUUUCCAACUCAAAGUGUUCUUAAAAUAAUUUCAAGAAAGGAAAUUUUAAGAAAAACCAUUUUAAACCAAUUCAUUCUCUCUUUAUGUAACAGAGUCAUCCAUUUUUUUUCUAAAAGAUAUCCAACAAAGAAUAAAGAAUGUAUGUGUAAUAUAGUAUUAGUCCGAAAUGUGACCUUAAGCGUCGGCCUACACAAACGUGAUAACUAACAACCAAAUACGCUAUGUGUGACUCCAGGACGGUACCGUGAGGGCUAGGGUUCCAAGGUGGCACUUACUCAACAAAAUCCAUUACCCGAGAAAGGAGGUAUUAUUAACCAUUUGCAUCUACAAAUAUACCCAGGCAAUUUAAUAAAAAAAUUAAUUUAAAUACUUAUGACUCAACAGCUUUGCACAUCUUUAGCUAAAACAAAAUAUAUAAUAUUGGUAUACUGAAGUUAUUAAUGAAAAUGUUAAUACAAAUACAACAAACAAACAUUGGACCUUCAUAAGGCUUCUAAUUCCAUCUUGAUCGUACAACAAAUCUGUCUCGUAAUGUAACAAAAUAAAUGGCAUGAGAUCAUUUUGGCCUUCUAGCAAAAACCUGUUGGACAGUAGGCAACUUAGUCCCAGUGGUUGGAGGUUUGNAGUUAGGAGGUGGUCUUGUCGUAGGAGCAAGAACAUUCUGAAUGCUUGUCUUCUGGGAACUCAUUCUGUCAAAAUUGCUUAAAUUUGGUGUUGGUUUUAGUUUGUGUAUGGAAAAUGAAACAUGGGCAUGUGGGUGGUAUGUAUUUAUAGCCAUUAAUUUGUUCAAUUAAUGCAUGGAAGUUACCAAAUGAUUGAUGGUGUAAUAUACAAAGAAAUUCCUGUUAUUUUCAUGUUUAAUUUCCAAACUUUGAAAUAUAAGGGUUUGUGUGAUCAUAUGUAUAUAUAUGCAUAUGUAAGUAGCUUGCUGCACAAGGAUAAAUAUACACGGUGAAUGGGGCCCAAUUAUGUAAUUAACAAUAAGUAUAAAUGUGUAUGUGACUUCAAAUAACAAGUUUGCCUUAAGCUGUAAAAUCUGUGACGAAAAUUCUCAUUCUCAAAUGUUCAAAGUGUUGAACUUUGAAUACGCGUCAUGCAUGGCUCUAGUAUAUCUCUCUGCAUUUACAUCUUCAUUUACCAUUAUUUUCACUUUUCUAUUUUACCUUUACAAUACAAACAAUGUGAAAUUUUUUUGAAAGUUUUUUUUGUGUGCAAACAAACCCAAUAAAUACCAUAAAUGUUUUAUACUUUGGGUCUUUAAAUAUGCUCUCCUUCCACAGUAUUCUAUUGGAGAGUGAAAGCUUAAAGUUGUAUAAGUACAUUAGGAAGGGGUAUUGCACCAACAUCAAUAACGGGAGUUUUGUUUCAUAUUUUUGCUUUUCAAAAAGGUUUAUACAAGAUAAAUCAAAGAGACAAUUUAACUACUGUUUGUUUGUAUGAAUCAAAACUUGAAUUGGAGUUCAUUUGAUUUCCCUCUAGGUUAAAAUUAACUCAUAAAUAAUUGAGUUAUAGAAAACUUAUGUAAGUUCUCUAAAUUUUCAUAUUUCAACUUGUGUAUAAUUUAAUGAUGAGAAUAUUCAUUCUAUUUUUAUUUCUAUUAGUGAGUAGGAAGAAGUGUUGUAAUAAUGUUAGAUUAUUGCAAAAGAAACGUUAUUCAAUGGUAGUAUGCCAAUAUUCAAAUUUUUCACCAAUAUUCAAAUUUUUUCAAUGUCAAUAAAUUUUGCAACGUUAAAAUCAUUGAUUGGUUUUUAUUUAUUUUAUUUUUUCCUAUCUCUAUAAAUAGAGAGCUCUUCCCCCAUUCCAACAUACACCAAGUUAAUACUUUCUCAUUCUCCUCUCUUCUCAUUCUCUCUUCCUCUUCUAAAAAUUAUUAUGGGUAUAAACUCUAUCAGAUUUUUUUUUAGUUCUGUGAUUCUCGAAUAUUUUCGAGCAGUUCCUGUUGUAUCCUGGAGGAUUUGAGCAAUACACCGCAGAUAAGUCCUUAAGAAUAGUGAUCUACACGUAUCAGGAAAUUGCAGUUUGAAUUUUUGUCAGCAUUUUUACUACAAGUAGGUCAAACAUAUACUUAUAGAAUAAUUGGUUAAUAAUUAACAAAAUCAAACAAUUUAACAAUGGCGAAAUAGAGGAAUGGUCCCAUAGAUAUAGUAGGAUUUUUAUUAAAAUAAUUCAUUUGAAUCAAACAAAUAAUACAAACACUAUUGUAAUGCUUAUGAAUACAAUUAAGAGUUCUGAUGGAAAUCAGACACUAAUGUGAUGGAAUAAAUCAACAAAUGCAAUAAACAAACACACUAGUUGUGAGUUGAUGUAUUCUCGAAUCCCUAAAUAGAAGUAGAUGCUUCCUUUCACCUUAAAUAAAACUUGUAAUUCGCCAUAUAUGCAACAUUGGUAGGGCUUUGAAAUCAAUUGGGUCGAGUGGUUGAAGGUUUGGAGGUACUAUUCUUAGGAGGUGGUCUUGUUGUAUGGAUAAGAGCAUUCUGAAUGGUUAUGGCUCCACUACUUGAAGUUUUGGACUUGCUACUAUAAGAGGGUGGCCUUGUUAUGGGAGCAAGAACAUUCCGAAUUUGGUUUUGGGAACUCAUUGUGCAAUGGCUAAGUAAUUCCAAUCGGUGUAGGUUGUGUCUAUCAAUUCAGCUUAAUGCCGAUAAAACAUGGCAAUGCCUCUCUAUAUUUAUAAGGAAGCAUGCCUUCAUACACAACAUUCAUUUAAUGUAUGGAAAUUACGUAAGAAAUGGAAAUGGUAAUUUGCACAGAAAUUUCUCCCAUUUCUUUUGUUUCAUAGGGUUUGUGGCAGAAGCUGAAACCUCCAUGAACUGUUAUCCAACCUUGCCAUGCUAAUCAUUUUUCUUGUAAAUGCCAUGCUACACACAAUUGAACAUUACGCGGUCACUCACAAAACAUUAAACAGACAAGGAAUUUCUUCUCGCUUUCGCGUAAAUUAUAUCCAAAUUAUUUUAAGGAAGCUGAGAUUUUGACACUCUUGGUUUGACACAACUUUAACAACGCCACGUGUCAGCUUCUGAUUGGGCUUUUUUUUUUUAAAAAAAAUAACCAACAAUGUGACGUCAUUUAUGAGGAGCAGAUUUGAUAAUUUUGUUUCCAUGUUUGCCCUUGCCCAGAUUCAUGUGAAUGAAAUUUUCUUUCUUCCCUGCUUCAUCAGAAAAAGAGUUCCUCCGAUAACUUCUUUUUCUUCGCCGACGCUCUACGGAAAUCGUUUUGGGCUUCUUUUUCGCCAUUUGACUGUCGUUAGUCGUUGUGUUUGCACUGGUGGCCUUCCUUAUCGGUGUGGGUGUGGCGGUGAUUGGCUCUUUUCGUUCUUGGUGUGUUCGUGUUGCGAAAUGACGAGUUCUUCGAGCAAGGUAAGGGCAUUGUAUUGUGGGUUUUGUUGUUUAUUGUCUGGUGUAUGGAGUUUGGCUUUUGUAUGUCUUUUAUGAUUUAGGGUUUUUAAGUUUGGGUUUUUGCAAUGUGUGUGCAGUUGACGGUUCGUCACUCAGUUUCCACAAAGUUAAUCUCUGGUUUGAACAAACGUUUGAGUAAGGAGCACCGUUCAUUGAUUGUCGGGACUCCGUUUAGGUGGUUUUUAGAUUUGACUGGUAAUGUUAAAGCCGGCACUCCUAAGCAAAUUCGUUACACCACCAACUAAGCAACCAUCAUCCUCCAUUCCACCACCAACUGAGAAACCAUCAUCCUCCACACAAGAAAAUAACAUUUAGACUUUUGUGGAAUAACUAUUAGUACUGGUGAACUUAUGAAUAUUGUUCGGAUAACUGUAAUACACUUUUAUUAGCACUCCAACAUUUUGUGGGAUGAAUGUAUUAUUAAGAAUGUAGUCUUACAUUCUGUUAAUGUCAAUGUUAAUGAUGUUAUGUUAUUACUGCAGUCACGAAGGUCACAAAAAUGCUAUGUUUAUCAUUACUGUUGGCCAUACAUUGUAUGUUUCUUGCUUUCCUAAAUAAUAAAACACUACCAUGCAAAAAAAAACACAGUUAAUGGGGAUGGUCCUCUGCGUUCAAAAUUGUGGUCCCUGCUGGCCAGGAUUGUGUCCAAAUCCUGCAUUUGUCUCGCUGUAAUCGUUUACACACCAGUUGUAAACGAUUACAACAAAGUCAUAUGCUGCAGAACACUUUGGACUUUAACCAACCAUGUGGAAUCUCAAUGGUGGGUCAUUUACUACCUUUUUAGGUCUGCAAACAACACCUACCACACUUUUAGUACACUUCCAUGAAUAGACAUGACAGUUAAUGGGGAUGGUCCUCUGCGUUCAAAAUUUUGGUCCCUAGUGGCCAAGAUUGUGUCCAAAUCCUGCAUUUGCUUCGCUGUAAUCGUUUACACACCAGUUGUAAAUGAUUACAACAUAGUCAUAUGCUGCAGAACACUUUGGACUUCAACCAACCAUGUGGAAUCUCAAUGUUGGGUCAUUUACUACCUUUUUAGGUCUGCAGACAACACCUACCACACUUUUAGUUCACUUCCAUGAACAGAAAUGACAGUUAAUGGGGAUGAUCCUUUGCGUUAAAAAUUUUGGUCUCUGCUGGCUAAGAUUGUGUCCAAAUCCUGCAUUUGCCUCGUUGUAAUCGUUUACACACCAGUUAUAAACGAUUACACCACAGUCAUAUGCUGCAGAACACUUUGUACUUCAACCAACCAUGUGGAAGCUUAAUGUUGGAUCAUUUACUACCUUUUAAGGUCUGCAAACAACACCUACCACACUUUUAGUACACUACCAUGCACAAAAAACACAGUUAAUGAGGAUGGUCCUCUGCGUUCAAAAUUUUGGUCCCUGCUGGCCAUUAUUGUGUCCAAGUCGUGAAUUUGCCUCGCUGUAAUCGUUUACACACCAGUUGUAAACGAUUACAACACAGUCAUAUGCUGUAAAACACUUUGGACUUCAACCAACCUUGUGGAAGCUCAAUGUUGGAUCAUUUACUACCUUUUAAGGUCUGCAAACAACACCUACCACACUUUUAGUACACUACCAUGCACAAAAAACACAGUUAAUGGGUAUGGUCCUCUGCGUUCAAAAUUUUGGUCUCUGCUGGCCAGAAUUGUGUCCAAAUCCUGCAUUUGCCUCGCUGUAAUCGUUUACAACUGGUCUUCAACCAACUUUAAUAACUUUGGUAUUAUUUAAACGAAUUAUUAAUAUCGUGUUUUCGAAUACACAGACAAGGGA